GAUGAACGCUGGCGGCGUGCCUAAUACAUGCGAGUCGAGCGAACGGACGAGAAGCUUGCUUCUCUGAUGUUAGCGGCGGACGGGUGAGUAACACGUGGAUAACCUACCUAUAAGACUGGGAUAACUUCGGGAAACCGGAGCUAAUACCGGAUAAUAUUUUGAACCGCAUGGUUCAAAAGUGAAAGACGGUCUUGCUGUCACUUAUAGAUGGAUCCGCGCUGCAUUAGCUAGUUGGUAAGGUAACGGCUUACCAAGGCAACGAUGCAUAGCCGACCUGAGAGGGUGAUCGGCCACACUGGAACUGAGACACGGUCCAGACUCCUACGGGAGGCAGCAGAAGGGAAUCUUCCGCAAUGGGCGGAAGCCUGACGGAGCAACGCCGCGUGAGUGAUGAAGGUCUUCGGAUCGUAAAACUCUGUUAUUAGGGAAGAACAUAUGUGUAAGUAACUGUGCACAUCUUGACGGUACCUAAUCAGAAAGCAACGGCUAACUACGUG
rnacentral:rRNA from 1 species